rnacentral:rRNA from 1 species
AACGAACGCUGGCGGCAGGCCUAACACAUGCAAGUCGAACGGAUCCUUCGGGAUUAGUGGCGGACGGGUGAGUAACACGUCGGAACGUGCCCUUUGGUUCGGAACAACUCAGGGAAACUUGAGCUAAUACCGGAUGUGCCCUUCGGGGGAAAGAUUUAUUGCAAUUGGAGCGGCCCGCGUCUGAUUAGCUAGUUGGUGAAGUAACGGCCCACCAAGGCGCCGAUCAGUAGCUGGUUAGAGAGGAUGAUCAGCCACACUGGGACUGAGACACGGCCAAGACUCCUACGGGAGGCAGCAGUGGGGAAUCUUGCGCAAGGGGCGAAAGCCUGACGCAGCCAUGCCGCGUAAAUGAUGAAGGUCUUAGGAUUGUAAAAUUCUUUCAGCGGGGACGAUAAUGACGGUACCCGCAGAAGAAGCUCCGGCUAACUUCGUG